rnacentral:lncRNA from 1 species
UGCUAAUCUGGCCUGACCAUAUUGGAAUUAGUUCUCACUUCAGAAGGAAACUUGUAAAAAGCUACUAGCAUGAGGAACUUUUCUGACUCAAAAUUAAAAAUAAACCUUUAUUACCCAUGGGAAGAACCCAUACCUGUUGCUCAGAUGGCCCCUUUGACUCCUUGAUCCCUGUAAUCCAAUCCCCUGGAUUCUAGAGCUAUUCCUUACACUGAUGUUUGACUCUUGUCUGGUUCUUGAAGUCUUACCUAUUUUCUGGUAACCGUUCACAAUAGAUAUACAAAGUAUUGUUGCCUACAUUCUAGGGCUCACAAUUGUAGGGAGAUAGCUUUAUGUAACUCCUUCUUUAAGGACAAUUCUCAAAAGUGAAAAUGUGGCUGCAACUAGUAGUUCAGAGUACCAUCUUGGUUACCUGGGUCACCUAACCCAGAGAGAAGAAAAACCCUAAGAGCUGGGAGGGAAUUUUGUUUUUGUUUUUUAAAGGUAAAAAAGCUGAAGAAGGUACAAUUCUUUUCCUUGUAUUGAAAGGCUUCUGCCUACUUUGUUUCAUAUCUAGAUAGGCAUCAUUUUUAUAAAUAAGGAAACUUUGGCCCCACAAAAGAGGAGGGGAAACUCUGAAAAGCCAUCUUACUUACUCUGAAAGGGAAUGUGAAAAGUACUUUAUAUUUCAUGAUUAGACAGAUGAUGCUUUUACUUUUCUUUUUCCAUGAGAAAUUCAAACGGUUACAUGAGAGUUGAGUGAGAGUUAGGGACCCAAAUAACCAGAGGUAAUUCCUGAAUUCCAGCAACAUCCUUCCCAGGAAACAAUAAAAGGUCAGAAUUUUUUGUUCUUGUUCUGGUCAGGAAAGAGGAUGUAGGGUGACAUUUGGGAUGCCAUCAUGUCAACACAACGUACAUUUGACAGAACCACCACCACCACCAACAACAACAACAACAAAAAGCAGGGAAAAGUAAUUUUGCAACUUAGAAGAUCAUGGGGAAAAUCUAUCUCACUAGGUAAAGAAUGGAACUCAAUCCAUCAUAGGCUAUUGCCCAGAAGGAGGCUUGGGGGCAACUGAAUCUCUGGCUUGGUCUGGCAGUUCUAUGAAUUAGGCUGCUGUGGCCCUGCAGGAAAACUCCACAAGAAUAGGGCAACAGUGCCAGCCCCAAAGAAAUGAAAGUUUGGGGGAGAAACCACUUUUCCAACAUCAGUUCCCACAGGGCUUUAAAAUAACUGUCACUGCUAACAGAUGUACAAAGUCUAGUGAAUCAGACAGUGUAAAAAAGCAGAGAGAGUAUUAGAUUCGAAGUCAGGAAGAGCUGUAUUCAAAUCCUACUCCAGGUGUUUGUGAUCAGGGACUCUUGAAUGUUCAGUCUUACAUUCCACAUGAAUAAAGUAGUGAUAAUAAUAGCCA